UACGUAGGGGGCAAGCGUUGUCCGGAAUCAUUGGGCGUAAAGAGCGUGUCGGUGGCUCGGUAAGUCCGCUGUGAAAGUCCAGGGCUCAACCCUGGAAUGCCGGUGGAUACUGUCGGGCUAGAGUCCGGAAGGGGCGAGUGGAAUUCCUGGUGUAGCGGUGAAAUGCGCAGAUAUCAGGAGGAACACCAAGGGCGAAGGCAGCGUACUGGGCCGAUACUGACGCUGAGGAGCGAAAGCGUGGGGAGCGAACAGG
rnacentral:rRNA from 1 species